GAUGAACGCUGGCGGCGUGCUUAACACAUGCAAGUCGAACGGAAAGGCCCAAGCUUGCUUGGGUACUCGAGUGGCGAACGGGUGAGUAACACGUGGGUGAUCUGCCCUGCACUUCGGGAUAAGCCUGGGAAACUGGGUCUAAUACCGGAUAGGACCACUUCUUGGAUGUUGUGGUGGAAAGUUUUUUCGGUGUGGGAUGAGCUCGCGGCCUAUCAGCUUGUUGGUGGGGUAAUGGCCUACCAAGGCGUCGACGGGUAGCCGGCCUGGGAGGGUGUACGGCCAAAUUGGGACUGAGAUACGGCCCAGACUCCUACGGGAGGCAGCAGUGGGGAAUAUUGCACAAUGGGCGCAAGCCUGAUGCAGCGACGCCGCGUGGGGGAUGACGGCCUUCGGGUUGUAAACUCCUUUCGCUAGGGACGAAGCGUUUUGUGACGGUACCUGGAGAAGAAGCACCGGCUAACUACGUG
rnacentral:rRNA from 1 species